CCCGCAGGUGGGACUGCCGCGUGUCAUGGUGCCGAAAGGUAUUGGCAUGAGGAAAGUCCGGGCAUCGCAGGGCAGGAUAACGGAUAACGUCCGCCGAGGGGAACCUCCGGGAAAGUGCAACAGAAAUAGACUACCAACGUAUUGCAAAUACACGGUACAGAUGGAAAGGCGAGGUAAAAGCUCACCGGCACGACAGGCGACUGUGUGCAAAUGUAAACCCUAUCCGAUGCAACACCGUAUGUGCGGGGUCCCUUGUGACCGUGCCGGCCCGGUAUAUCCGCACAGGUGGCUGUAAGGUCUGCGGCAACGCCGAUCACAGAUAGAUGGCAGUCACGCAGCAAUGCGUACAGAACCCGGCUUACAAGCCUGCCGGAAAA
rnacentral:RNase_P_RNA from 1 species